rnacentral:lncRNA from 1 species
UCUUGAGGGAACUCUAUAUAUACCAAUAGAUUUGAUAGGAAGAAGAAAAAAAAAAGGAAACCUAGAGAUAAAAAUAGCUAAGCGGCGCAGCAGAAACUCCAGAAAACAAAAAAUAGUUGCACCUCUUUCUUUUUCCCCUUCAACUCAUCAUCAUCUUCAACCCACAAAAUAUCCAUGAAAACCACCAUCUUUCCUCCAUAAAACCCACUUGAAAAUAGCCUUUUAAACCUAGCAAAAACCACUCAAAAACAAGCGCAAAUCCAUCGUCAAACUCUAAGAAAAACUGUCCAAAACCCAGCAUUAAACUACAACCAAAUCAGCACCGAAAAUGCCCCAAAAUCCAUCUCCAAAGUGACUCAAAAUGUCACCCGAACCACCCCCAAAACUCAGCAAAAUCAGCCCCAAAAAUCAUCCGCAAAGCAGCUCCAAAGAGCAGCCAAAUCAGCUGAGAAAUUACUGGUAAAAAAACCUGUCCAAAACCCCCCAGAAAAGCUGUCCAAAAUUAGUGCCAAAAAUAUGACGAAAAACCGUCUGAAGCCAGCCACAAGCCUCCAUCAAAAUUACCACUUUAUACUCGAAAUAGUUGUCCAAAUCUAUUCGAGUCGGUAUCAUUUUCGUGUAGAUCUUGGUUUGAGUUCGCCAUUGAAGUUACGGUCGAUUGGUUCUAUAGCAUUUGAAGGUCCCUGUUUUGCUCUUGCUUCGGUCAAAUUGUAGUUGUUGUUUCCUUGUAUUUUGACAUUGGCAGCGGUGCUUCAAUGUAAAGGAAGUUUCCAGUAAUAAAGUCCAAUAUUUAAACUUAUGUUAUCUCAAUUUUGUCCUGCUAGCAUAAUGAAUGAUUCUGGUUAUUUGUUGCUAUUCCAUGUUAUCUUGUCUUUCGUAGUAGUCUUAAUUAGCUGGUCUUUUGUCUUAAGCUAUGACUUGAUUUGUGAGAUUCAUGCUCAGCUCAUUAUUUACAACUUAAUAUCUGUUAUAUGUUGAUUUGCUAUCUCCCCUUGGUAUAGUUAAUACAUUAGCAUCAUGGUUCAUUAAAGAAGCUACUGUUUGAAUUCAUGGGAAGUGUAGGACAGUUAAUCGUGUUGGGUUUUUGUAAUUCACGGGUUUAUGGUAAUUGAUUUAAUUUUGGGCUUUACUUUAUCCUUACCCUUUAAUAUUCGGGUCAUUAGCACUUGGUUUGAGAUAAGCGAUUUGGCCUAUUUUACAUAACUGAUAAUUGCUAGAUUAGUCUAAAUAGCUUAAUAAACUUCAUGUAUUCCAAACACCUCCAAUUUCAUAAGUCAUGGCCUUACAACAACCUUAAAACUAGUUUAGGAAAAUAAUCACACAACUGCAGUUUGCUUUAGGCGCGGUUAAUAAAUCAUUGUGGCCAUGUGUACGGUUCCCGUAGCAUGGUCACGAUACAUAUUUUCCAAUUCAGGUGUGCAUUUUAUAUGACCCGACCACAACUUAAAACAAUAUAAAAAUAAAUAUGUUGUAAAUCGCGGGUGCAUUUCAUGUGGCGCAGUUUGCACUAUGUACCAAAGACAAGUGUACGACAUCGUGACUUGUUCCAAAAAUAAUUCCAUAAAUAAAUAAAAGCAGUUAUAGAGUUAAAAAUACACACACAUUUAAAAUAUGUAAUAAAUCAGAUAAUUAGGCCAAUUAUCAAUAGUUGAGCGACCGUGCUAAAACUACGGAAUCCGGGAGUGCCUCACACCUUCUCCCGGUUUAACAGAAUUCCUUACCGAUCCUCUGUGUUCGCGGACCAAAACUAGAGUCAAUUUCCUCGAUUUGGGAUUUAAAAUAAAUCGGUGACUUGGGACACCAUAAACUAUUCCAAGUGGCGACUCUAAAAAAUUAAAUAAAUAAUCUCAUUUCGAUUAAUGUCACUUUAAUUGGAAAAACUUUCCUAUACCCGUCAGAAAAAAGGAGGUGUGACAGCUCUGGCGACUCUGCUGGGGAAACAAACCUAGAACUUAUGGUUUAGAGUUCAGAAUUCGAGCUUAGAAUAACUGUUAUAGUUGGCUUUUAUUUAUUAUCUAAUUUUUUUUACGUGUUUUAGCUUGAUGUGCUAAAUGCCACUUUUUACCGCUUUGAUAUUAUAUGAACUGUAUAUAAACUAUUACAAAAUCCUUCUUCUCUCUGAGUCUUCUAAAUCUUCUGGGAAGUGCACACUGGCGUGACUUCUUUUCUGUUAGAGUCAUACCCUAAUUUAGAACGAGGAUCAGAUCAGUUACAAAGCCGGAUGGCCUUUUGGUUAUCGGUACGUUGCCCCUUUCCCCCCCCCCCCCCUCCCCGGCUCGAGUUGUCUACUCGGGUAAGCCAGGAGAAUAAUACACCCAGGUUUUAAACCUAGAAUAACAUAGCCUCAUGCCGGAUUCCUAGUAGGAACGCUUGCAUUUGACUUUGGGGACUCAACACAGGGUUUGGUUCCGUCUAGGACAGGUGUAACCGAAAUAAAAAGACCAUCCUGAUGCAUCUUACGUGCUACUUGCGCAUCUGUUUGUUUUGGCUUACGUGCUGACUGGCUUUUAGAAUGGGAAAAGAAAAAUAAAAAAAUAGAGAAAAUAAUAAAUAAAAACAAGAGUGAGAGGUAGGUAUUAAAAAAAUCAAAACUCUGCCGAAAUUUUGAAGAAAAUAAAAGAGAAAGAAAAUAAGAUAAUGUUUUCAAAAGAUCAUGUUUCCCUUGUUCCGUCAAAACAGACUGAACUACGCGGGUCUAAUUCUCAUCGGAUGUGAGAUACGUAGGCAAACUUUAUCGGUUCCAGCCCCAAUUUCUAAAAAUUCAAAAAUAUUUUCCUUUAAUUCCUUCAUUAGAAGCAUUUCCUUAGAAAAUUCAAAAGAAAAAGAUUUUUAAACUCAAAAAAAAUAGUUUUCUUCUUUCUGAAGUCUUUCAUACGGAAAAAAAAAAACAACAAAAUCCAAAAUACAGAUUUCCUUUAUUUUAAAGUAUUUUUCCCAAAAAUUCAAAAAAAAAUCAAAAAAAAAGAAUCCAAAAAAUAUUCUUAUCCUUCUUUAAAAAUCUUUCUUUCGUAAAUAUCAUAAAAUAAUUGAAACGUUGAAGUCCAAAAAUAUUUUUGUUUUUCUUUAGAAGUACUUUUGUAAUAAAAAAAAACUCAGAAAUCCAAAAUAUUUUCUUAGCCCCUCUUUCGAAAAUUAAGAGGCAACAUCCAAAAUUCAAAAACAUUUUCUUUCUUCUUUAGAAAAAGAGAAAACAAAUGAAAAUUCAAAAAAUAAUCUUUUUACUUUUGAAAUUCCCAAAGUUCAAAUCAAAGAAAAGGAAUUUUUAGAAGUCUUUCUUUCAAAAAAAAAAUCAAAAUUAAAAAUCCAAAAAAUAUUUCUUUUUUUAUUUUAAAGCAUUUUUUUUAAAACUCCAAAAUAAAUACAAAAAAAAUCAAAAAAAUAUAUAUGUUUUUCUUUUUCUUAAAGCUUUCAUGGUCCGAGUUUUAUAAAAAGUAAACAAAAAAAGUGAGUUAGUUUAAUUACUCUAUUCUCGAUCUUCCUGAACUAUGCAAGAUCUUAUUCAUGCUGCAUCAUGAUACUUAGGCAAUCCCCAUCGGAUUCGAUCAUAGCUAUAAAAUAAAUUGAGUGAAAAAUAAACUAAAAAAAUUGAGUGAAGAAGAAAGAAAUGAGUGAAAAAAAAGGAAUGACAAAACAAAAAGAGAACAAGAGAGUGCCAAAUAUAAAAGAGCGACAGAAACAAAAGGAAAAAAAUCAAAAGUGAUUAAAGAGAGGUAGAAAUAAAAGAAAAGAGGUACAUACUGAAAGGAUUAGUUGAGGCCGGGAUGAAACAUGCAACCGUUAGUUAAGGCCCGGAUGAAACAUGCAACCGUUCAAACACAUGGUAGAAGCAUUUAACUGUUAGGUGCAUUGCAUCCCAACUUGCGAUUUCCUAUAUGCUAAAUGUUUCAAAACUAACAAGGUUGUUGGGUGUGCAAAUUAGCCAGGUUCUGUUCAGGUGGUUAGUUUUGUUGAUAAUCUGGCUUUCCAUCCUUACUUCACAAGAUCCAAAGGCAUGGUUCCUAUGGCCUCGGUCCCACCAUACUAUUAUCCCUUUCAAGAUGUUGCUUAUGUUGUGGCACUGCCUCCCUACGCGGUGAUGAGCAUGCAACCUUACAUGCGGCCACAACAUUAUACACAAAAACAAGAUCCACCUCCCAGAAAUGCCCAUCCUUGCCAAGCUUCAAAUAAUCCCAACCAAAUGUCCCCCAGUACAACCCCCCUCCCCCCAAGAGAGCCUUUCAGAAAGAAUCAGUUCACCCCUAUUGGUGAAUCAUAUUCGGGCUUGUUCCAAAAGCUAGUCAGGCGAGGUCUGCUGUAGCCAGUGGCCCCAAACCAGCCAAACCCCGAGUCUCCCUCACACCAAGCGAUGCCAUAUGUGAAUACCACUCCGCAAUGGGACACAGUACAGAGGGCUGUUGGACCCUCAAAAGGGCAAUUGAAGACUUAAUCGAAGCUGAAAUAAUCGUUCUUCGGGACGAAAAAGGCUCCUAAUGGACAAAUAAUCCAUUGCUUGCUCACAACACCAGGCCAAUAGUCGGAAUGAUUCGUGAAAAGAGGAAUUUGAUCCAGCACUAAAGGCCAUUGCAGCCAUUGUCGAGACAGAAGAAAAUCCAAAAAGCGAUCGACAAGCUUGAAAGUUCCCCAUCAGAUGGGAGUCUCGAUAGCCAGUCUUGCUAUAUUUUCUGCGUUCGGAUUAUCUCAGGGUGUGAUCCGGAUGUUUCACUUUCCGAUGUAAACCCUUAUAUCUUUAAAAUUCAAAAAAAAUCAAAUAAAAAAGAAAUCAUUUCAUUACCUAGGAAUGUCUCUUUUCUUAUUGUAACUUUUCUUAUUCUCUUUUUAAUUCUGUUAAAUGCAGAUUUCAAUAACAUGACAUGCUUGCGGACUUCAUGCCCAGAUCCUAAAACGCUGUCAGACCUCGAAAUAAUGAAUCAAAAAAUAGAUUGUAAUGAAGAUAAGUUUUAGGAAAUAAAACAAAGAGUUGGAACAACUAAAGAAAAAUUGGCUCCAGAUUGUAAAGAUCCAUACAUGGUAACAAGGGUACUUCCAAAAAGAGCGUUGUACCUGGGAAACAUCCAAAGAAAUGUCCCUAAAACAACUACCAAUGUAGGUUCAGUCAAAAGGUACUAUGUUUGAUCCUCUAUAUAGUAUUAACGCUCCGAUUGGGAUGAAGAAGGCUUUUAUUUUCGCUAACUAAAUACCAUUAACCCUUUUUUAAUCUCUUUGAGCCGGUUCCCUUUCUUUGAUUACCCUCUUUGGAAUCUGAAAGUGUUAUUGAAAAAAAAUGAAAGAAUGAAAUGAAAAAUGAAAAACAAAAUGAAAAAAGAGAAGAAAAAGAAAGAUACAAAAAAGGGAAGAAAAGGCAAAAAGAAAAUGAAAUGAAAAAUGAAAAAAAAAAGAGGAAAAAGGAAAGGAAAAAGAAAGAGAAAACAAAAGAAAAUAGAAAAACAAAAGAAAAAAAACAAAGUUCCUUGAACUUGUUCAACUUGAUUCCAAAAGGAUACGUAGGCAGACUCUCUCUGGGGUUCAGUCACACCAAAAUAAAAAUCCAAAUUCCUCUAAUUUGAAACUGGGGCAGAAGUUAUAAUGGUUUGACGAUGGUUUCGCCCGAAAGGUUCCAAAGUCAUAACUCUAUCCAAAUCCUUUUUACCCAAACCUUAUUCAAGUCCUUCUGAUCAAUCGGCAAAGAUGUUCAAAAUGGGAGGAUACAGUUACUUGGAUCUGACACAACAAAAUGAGAGAAUUAAAAUGAAAGUCUUAUCGGUGAAAACUCUCACGGGCAACAUAAGGUGAUGGUAAGCAGAGAAAUGGAAAAUAAGAGAGUCUUGUUAGUGAAAACUCGCAAAGAGCACUAUAAUACGAUGGUGAGAAGAGAAAUAAGAGUGGUCAGAUAGUGAAAACCCGCAAAGGGCACCACUGAUCAAAAAAGAGGAUAUUCGGUCACUGACAUUGACACAGUCCUGGGCAUGGUUUCUCGAUUUCGAGGCAAAAGUUGUGAUGAAUUUCUGAGAGUCAGACGGUUUGCACGGAUCAGGCAUCCAGUCCAAAAGGCGUGUCAUAUUCGUUGAAGUCCGCAUGUACUCUAGAUAAGUCCUUCUUUCCUUUCCUCAAAAGGGACGUCUUGUAUAAAUUCAUUUGUCCAUUCCAUUGUUUAUUUUUCCUUUGAAUCCCUUUCGGUCUAACUCUAUUUUGAAACUGAGACAAAGAAGGUUUACAGGGUUCUCAUUUGAUACAAGCUAAUAUGCAAAAAAGACACCCAGCCUCGUCAGGGGCAUCAAGUCGACCUCGACCGGCCAUGACGGCCAAUGCUUCGAAAUCAAAUCGAAGUGCCUAUAAAGGUAAAUGAAGUUGAAAAGGUUAAGUUCCACGUGGCUAAUAGUCUCGGCAAAAAUUUGAAAAAGCCAAGGGAUCCCAAAUGCUCUGAAACUAAAGUUGGAAUAAAGAAGCCAAAAAUGAAAGGCCUAUGAAGGCGAAAUAAAGUUGGAAAAGAUUAAGUCCUACGCGACUAGCCGUCGCGACAAAGUUUGAGGAGCCAAAAGUUCCUCAAUGCUCCGAAGUUUUAAAAAAACAACAAGUCAGAAGGGAAGGGCCUAUAGAAGCAAAAUAAAGUCAAAAAGGUUGAGUCCCAUCGACCAAUCGUCAUGCAAAUUGUGGAAAAGCUAGAGUUUCUACAGGGUCAGAAAUGCAAUCGGUAUUCAGGAAACAAUCAAGCCGAGAUCAAGUGGUUAAAAUAAUCAAGGCCACAAAACCAACCACCGUUUUAAACUGACAAAUUGUUUUUUGUUUGAAAAAUAAGAAACAGGUGCAAUGCACAAGCAAACUUGCAAGAAGCAGGUGCUACCAAAAAGAAACUGCGCAAGAGCUAAAAAACAGCUUUGCAGCAACAACUCCAAAAAGGGAAGUCUCCUCCAAAAUUCUUUCCGGCAUUUACUCAUUCUAUGAAAUAAAAAAAAUAAGAAAAAAAACGAUGAUGAAAAUAAAUAAAGAAAAAAAAAGAAGAAGAGAAACUCAAAAUCAUAGUAGUAUAGGGUCUCCAAUUCCUAGCUGUGUCUUUUCCAAAAUAGGGUCCCACUUCCUAGUUGAUGCGGGCAUAACCCGAUGACUUUUCCAACAUAGAGUCUCACUCCCUAGUUGAUGCCGGCAUAACCCCAUGACUUUUUCAACAUAGGGUCCCACUCCCUAGUUGAUGUCGGCAUAACCCCAUGACUUUUCCAACAUAGGGUCUCACUCCCUAGUUGAUGUCGGCAUAACCCGAUGCCAGCAAAACCUAAUGCCAACAUAGGGUAACCACUCCCUAGUUGAUGCCAGCAUAACCUGAUGCCCACAUAGGGUCACCAUUCCCUAGUUGAUGCCGACAUAGGGUCUCCACUCCCUAGUUGAUGUCAGCAUAACCUGAUGCCAACAUAGGGUCACCACUCCCUAGUUGAUGAUUUUCCAACAAUAGAGUUUCCAAUCCCUAGUUGAUUUUAUUUUAGAUAUAUGGGUCUCCACUCCUUAAUAUCUUUUUCCCAAGGAUACACAAUCUCGACAUUUUAUUUGCUUUUAAUAAUGAAGUAGUAUAGAGUUUUGCUACCAAUAACUCACGAAAGUUUCCUAGUGAAAACUGGGGCAGAAAUAUUUUGUUCGUUUGUUUGUUUGGGUGCCUGAGCAGGUUUUACCUCGAGGCACGGGUUCGAGACGACUAAAAGAAGAAGUCUCAAUCCAAAAUAAAAGAAAAAGAAGAAAAGAAAUGAAGUGAACACAAUUCAGAAGCGGAGAAAAGAUGUGGACUGCUCAAGAAAUGAUUAAUAUCACAAGCUUUGCAUGUCACGCCUUGAUCCGAGAAGCUGAAAAGAAUGAACCAGCACCUAUAGCUAACAAGCAUCAAGAUUCGGAUCAGAGUCUACGUGAAGAACGAGCUAAGACUCAAGAUCAAGCUUCAAAAGACUCAUAGAUAGGAAUCCUGUAACUUGUAGCUGAUAGGCUUAGUUAGUUUUUUUCAUUUUGACUUUGAUGUAAUAGCAGGACCACGGACCGGAUCCUCGACGGGACCUCACUCGACACUCGAACUUGGCAUUCCAUCAUUCUCCUUGAACUACACGCGACCUGAUUCUCAUAUGACCCAGGAUAUGUAGGUUGUCCAAAACAAGGACUCGGUUGCACUCUUUUCUUUUAGUUUCUUCCCUUUUAAUAAUAAAAAAUAAAUAAUGGUUUGGUCAAAAAUUAGUCAUAUCGCUCAUCUUUUCUUUGCCUGAAAACUCUUCAUGUUUCCAAGCAACGAGGGGCAUGCUGUAAGCACCUAAUUUUUGACCAUAUUUUAAUUUUUCACCACUUUUUCGUAUGUAAAUAUUUUUUAAGUUUAACCUACGCAUUUUAGCUCUUGUUUUACCUUUUUAUAGGUUUUACUUAGAAAUUGAAAAUGAUGAAAAAGAGUCACAUUUUUUUGAUAAAUUUUGUUUUCAUUUACAAAAGAAAAAGAACAAAUUAAAAUUUUGUUAAGACUACUAAUAUGAAAUUUUCUUUAGUAGAUUUCUGUAUUUUUCUAGUCUAAACGUAUUAAUGUAGUAUUUUGAUUUUAGAUUAUCUUGAAAAGAAAGAAUUAAUAAAAAAUGAUGAUACAAUUAGGUUCUGCCACUUAAAAUAACUAGCAAGAUUCUAUUAGACCAUGAUCAUAUUUUGUCUUGAUUCUCGUGGACACACUCACAUUUUUCUUUUAUAUAUUUUUCCUCCUCACAUGUUACACUACACUUUUCAUUUCUUAAUUUACUAAGCUCACGUACUAACAGUUAAUUCAAUUGGAGUCACUCACCUCACGCGCACUCAUGCUACAAUGCUAGGAGUCCAUAUUUUGUUCUUAUCUUUUUUGGUAUCUAACAAAUUGUGAGCGCCACAGGAUCUUCCACCCACUUUCUCCACACAUAUCCAUUGCACAUAAUAUUCCCUCCAGCUCAUAUAACUCUGGCCCCAAAAAAAAUCUUGAGGGCACUCUAUAUAUAUCAACAGAUUUGAUAGAAAGAAGAAGAAAAAAAAAGGAAACCUAGAGAUAAAAAUAGCUAAGCGGCGCAGCAGAAACUCCAGAAAACAAAAAAUAGUUGCACCUCUUUCUUUUUUCCCUUCAACCCAUCAUCAUCUUCAACCCACAAAAUAUCCAUGAAAACCACCAUCUUUCCUCCAUAAAACCCACUUAAAAACAGCCUUUUAAACCUAACAAAAUCCACUCAAAUCCAUCGUCAAACUCCAAGAAAAACUGUCCAAAAAUAAAAUUAAACUACAACCAAAUCAAACCCGAAAACGCCCCAAAAUCUAGCUCCAAAGUGACCCAAAACGUCACCCAAACCACCCCCGAAACCACCUCAAAACAGGCCCCCAAAACUCAGUAAAAUUAGCCCCAAAAAUCAUCCACAAAACAGCUCCAAAGAGCAGCCAAAUCAGCUGCGAAAUUGCUGAAAAAAACCAGUCCAAAACCCCCAGAAAAGUUGUCCCAAAAUCAGUGCCAAAAAUCUGACAAAACACCAUCCGAAACCAGCCACAAGCCUCCAUCGAAAUGACCCCUUUAUACUCGAAAUAGUUGUCCAAAUCUAGUCGAGUCAGUAUCAUUUUCGUGUAGAUCUUGUUUUGAGAUCGCCAUCGAAGUUAUGGUCGAUUGAUUCUAUAACAUUUGAAGGUCCUUGUUUUGCUCUUGCUUCGGUCAAAUUGUAGUUGUUGUUUCCUUGUAUUUUGACAUUGGCAGCGGUGCUUCAAUGUAAAGGAAGUUUCCAGCAAUAAGGUCCAAUAUUUAAACUUAUGUUAUCUCAAUUUGGUCUUGCUAGCAUAGUCAAUGAUUCUGGUUAUUUGUUGCUAUUCCAUAUUAUCUUGUCUUUCGUAGUAGUCUUAAUUACCUAGACUUUUGUCUUAAGCUAUGACUUGAUUUGUGAGAUUCAUGCUCAGCUCAUUAUUUACAACUUAAUAUCUGUUGUAUGUUGAUUUGCUAUUUCCCCUCGGUAUAGUUAAUGCAUUGGCGUCAUGGUUGAUUAAAGAAACUAUUAUUUGAAUUCAUGGGAAGUGUAGGAUAGUUAAUCGUGUUGGGUUUUUGUAAAUUUUCGGGUUUAUGGUAAUUGAUGUAAUUUUGGGCUUUACUUUAUCCUUACCCUUUAGUAUUCGGGUCAUUAGCACUUGGUUUGAGAUAAGUGAUUUGGCCUAUUUUACAUAAACAGAUAAUUGCUCGAUUACUCUAAAUAGCUUAAAAACUUCAUGUAUUCCAAACACCUCUAUUUCCAUAAGUCAUGGCCUUACAACAAACUUAAAACUAGUGUAGGAAAAUAAUCACACAACCGUAGUUUGCUUUAGGCGUGAUUAAUAAAUCAUCCUGGUCAUGGGUACGGUUCCCGUGGCAUGGUCAUGAUAUAUAAUUUCCAAUUCGGGUGUGCAUUUUAUAUGACCCGACCACAACUAAAAACAAUAUAAAAAUAAACAUGUCGUAAAUCGCGGGUGCAUUUCAUGUUGCGUGCUUUGCAAUGUGUACCAAAACGACAAGUGUACGACAUCGUGACUUGUUUCAAAAAUAAUUCCAUAAAUAAAUAAAAGCAGUUAUAAAGUUUAAAAUACACAACAGGUUUAAAAUAUGUAAUAAAUUAGAUAAUUAGGCCAGUUAUUAAUAGUUGAGCGACCGUGCUAAAACUACGGAAUCCAGGAGUGCCUCACACCUUCUCCCAGGUUAAUAGAAUUCCUUACCCGGUCUUCUGUAAUCGCAGACCAAAAAUAAAGUUAAUUUCCUCGAUUUGGGAUUUAAAAUAAAUCGGUGACUUGGGACACCAUAAACUAUUCCAAGUGGCGGCUCUAAAAAAUCAAAUAAAUAAUCUCAUUUCGAUUAAUGUCACUUUAAUUGGAAAAACUCCCCGAUCUCCUUCGGGAAAAAGGUCUGUUACUUCUUCCGAUAAGGACCAUGCUGCUUAGGCUUUGUAAUUUUUGUAAUUUUUCGUUUUUGUUUUGAGGCCGAUUGGCCCUUAUAAAUAACUCUUAAUCGGGCCAUAUGGCCCUUGUAAAAAGAG